rnacentral:rRNA from 1 species
UGAGGAAUAUUGGUCAAUGGACGGAAGUCUGAACCAGCCAAGUAGCGUGCAGGAUGACGGCCCUAUGGGUUGUAAACUGCUUUUGUAUGGGGAUAAAGUUAGGGACGUGUCCCUAUUUGCAGGUACCAUACGAAUAAGGACUGGCUAAUUCCGUGCCAGCAGCCGCGGUAAUACGGAAGGUCCAGGCGUUAUCCGGAUUUAUUGGGUUUAAAGGGAGCGUAGGCUGGAGAUUAAGUGUGUUGUGAAAUGUAGACGCUCAACGUCUGAAUUGCAGCGCAUACUGGUUUCCUUGAGUACGCACAACGUAGGCGGAAUUCGUGGUGUAGCGGUGAAAUGCUUAGAUAUGACGAAGAACUCCGAUUGCGAAGGCAGCUGACGGGAGCGCAACUGACGCUCAAGCUCGAAGGUGCGGGUAUCAAACAGG